CUCUCGGGUGACGAGUGGCAGACGGGUGAAUAAUGUCUGGAAAACUGCCUGAUGAAGGGGGAUAACUACUGGAAACGGUAGCUAAUACCGCUGGUUGUUUGAGACCAAAGAGGGGGACCUUCAGGCCUCUUGCCAUCCCAUGUGCCCAUAUGGCAUUAGCUAGUUAGUGGGGUAACGGCUCACCUACUCAACAAUCCCUCGCUGGUCUGACAAGAUGACCGGGUGAUCUGGAACUGAGACACUGUCCCAACUCCUACACUAGGCCGGGAGGGGGAAUAUUGCACUCUGGGCCAAUGCCUGAUGCUCCCAUGCCGCGUGUAUGAAGAAGGCCUUCAGGUUGUAAAAUACUUUCACUCUGGAGGAAGGUGUUGUGGUUAAUAACCCCAAUAAUUGACGUUACCCGCGGAACAAGCACCGGCUAACUCCGUGCCCUACGCCCCAGUAAUACGGAGGGUGCAAGCGUUAAUCGCAAUUACUGGAAUUAUUGCGCACGCAGGCCUCCUGUGCGGUUUCAUGUGAAAUCCCCGGGCUCAACCUGCUAACUGCAUUCGGGUCUGGCAAAACUGAGUCUUGUGAGUGGGGUAGAAUUCCUGGUGUUCCACUGAAAUGCGUGAGAUGCUGGAAGAAUACCGAGUGAACAACAGUGGCCCCCUGCGACUCUCACUG
rnacentral:rRNA from 1 species